rnacentral:rRNA from 1 species
GUGAUCCUACGGGGGGCAGCAGUGAGGAAUAUUGGUCAAUGGGCGAGAGCCUGAACCAGCCAAGUCGCGUGAAGGAUGACGGCCCUAUGGGUUGUAAACUUCUUUUGUCAGGGAGCAAUUGGGUCCACGCGUGGGCUUAGCGAGAGUACCUGAAGAAAAAGCAUCGGCUAACUCCGUGCCAGCAGCCGCGGUAAUACGGAGGAUGCGAGCGUUAUCCGGAUUUAUUGGGUUUAAAGGGUGCGUAGGCGGAAUAUCGAGUCAGCGGUAAAAAUUCGGGGCUCAACCCCGUCGUGCCGUUGAAACUG